rnacentral:rRNA from 1 species
AUUGAACGCUGGCGGCAGGCCUAACACAUGCAAGUCGAGCGAGUGGCGGACGGGUGAGUAAUGUCUGGGAAACUGCCUGAUGGAGGGGGAUAACUACUGGAAACGGUAGCUAAUACCGCAUACCAUCAGAUGUGCCCAGAUGGGAUUAGCUUGUAGGUGGGGUAAAGGCUCACCUAGGCGACGAUCCCUAGCUGGUCUGAGAGGAUGACCGGCCAAAGUGGAACGUAGACACGGUCCAGAGUCCUACGGGAGGCAGCAGUGGGGAAUAUUGCACAAGGGGCGCAAGCCGGAUGCAGCCAUGCCGCGUGUGUGAAGAAGGCCUUCGGGUUGAAAAGCACUUUCAGCGAGGAGGCGUUACUCGCAGAAGAAGCACCGGCUAACUCCGUGCCAGCAGCCGCGGUAAUAC